AACGAACGCUGGCGGCAGGCUUAACACAUGCAAGUCGAACGCGUGCAGCAAUGCACGAGUGGCGCACGGGUGAGUAACGAGAGGAUAUCUGCCUUUUGGUUCGGAAUAACCCCGGGAAACGGGGGCUAAUACCGGAUGGUUCCUACGGGAGAAAGAUUUAUCGCGAAAAGAUGAGUCCGCGUCCGGUUAGCUAGUUGGUGAGGUAAUGGCUCACCAAGGCGACGAUCGGUAGCUGGUCUGAGAGGACGAUCAGCCACACUGGGACUGAGACACGGCCCAGACUCCUACGGGAGGCAGCAGUGGGGAAUAUUGGACAAUGGGGGCAACCCUGAUCCAGCCAGGCCGCGUGAGUGAUGAAGGCCUUCGGGUUGUAAAGCUCUUUUGGCGGGGACGAUGAUGACGGUACCCGCAGAAUAAGCCCCGGCUAACUUCGUG
rnacentral:rRNA from 1 species